rnacentral:lncRNA from 1 species
CCUAGUGGGUAAAGGACCAACCUCAAGUACGAGGGCGCGGGUUCGAUCCCAGGUCAGGCAAGUACCAAUGCAACUUUUCUAAGUUUGUAUGUACUUUCUAAGUAUAUCUUAGACACCAUUGGCUGUGUUUCGGAUGGCACGUUAAACUGUAGGUCCCGGCAGUCAUUGAACAUCCUUGGCAGUCGUUACGGGUAGUCAGAAGCCAGUAAGUCUGACACCAGUCUAACCAAGGGGUAUCGGGUUGCCCGGGUAACUGGGUUGAGGAGGUCAGGCAGGGCAGUCGCUUCUUGUAAAGCACUGGUACUCAGCUACAUCCGGUUAGACUGGAAGCCGACCCCAACAUAGUUGGGAAAAAGGCUCGGAGGAUGAU